rnacentral:rRNA from 1 species
ACUCCUACGGGAGGCAGCAGUGGGGAAUAUUGCACAAUGGGGGAAACCCUGAUGCAGCCAUGCCGCGUGUGUGAAGAAGGCCUUGGGUUGUAAAGCACUUUCAGUAGGGAGGAAGGUAGUGUAGUUAACACCUGCAUUAUUUGACGUUACCUACAGAAGAAGCACCGGCUAACUCCGUGCCAGCAGCCGCGGUAAUACGGAGGGUGCGAGCGUUAAUCGGAAUUACGUGGGCGUAAAGCGCAUGCAGGCGGCCUGUUAAGUCAGAUGUGAAAGCCCGGGGUCUUAACCUCGGAAUUGCAUUUGAAACUGGCAGGCUAGAGUCUUGUAGAGGGGUUAGAAUUUCAGGUGUAGCGGUGAAAUGCGUAGAGAUCUGAAGGAAUACCAGUGGCGAAGGCGGCCCCUGGACAAAGACUGACGCUCAGAUGCGAAAGCGUGGGAGCAAACAGGAUUAGAUACCCCUGGUAGACUGUCA